rnacentral:lncRNA from 10 species
UGAGCCCGCCCCCCGGGAGCGCGGGGCCCAAUCCCGUUACAAGGACCACGGACUUCCGUUUCGUUCCGCCUGUAAGUCCCGCCUGGUCCCGCCUCCUCCUGAAAAGAGCUCAGUUGUCAAGGAACUAUUUUUCUUGCCGUCGUCCCAGAGAUGCCUUUGGAAAAGCGGAAGGGCACGGAGGGUUCUGGAGUUCGUUGCUGGCACCUGCGUGGUGUCAUGAGAACGUGGCGGGGCGAUUCACACUACAAGGAAUACUAAAGGACGUUCUCCACAUUGAAGGAAAAUGAUCUAAAGAGAAACAGAUCUGUAAGAAGAAAUGAAGAGCACUGGUAAAGUUCAUGGGUGCUUCAGAAUGUGUGGUCAAAAGCAGCCCUCAGAUCAGAGACCUCGACCCCUCUCCUGCCUCAGGACAGCAAACUCAACCAGCCUCCAAGACGGGGCCUUUCUUCAGUAGCAGGUGCUGAGGGGACAGGAUUGAGAUGGGAUGAAAUGUGGAGAUGGGAGCAAAGGGGCAACCAAGAAAGGGCCAAGGCAUCUUCCUGCAUUCACAGGAGGUGACUCUCAUUUGAAGGAGAGGCCAGGGAGGAUGCUGGCCAGUUGGAAUGUGUUCAAGGCAAAGCCCCACUUUCCUGGCUGAGUCUACUUCAGCCAUCCAUAUUGUCCCCAUUCCUAGGACUGGUUCACUGUGUACCUCUUAACACCACUCAGCUCUGGAAGAGAGUCCUUACAAACGGGCCCUCCUUGGCUGAGUGUGGUGGCUCACACCUCUAUGUAGACCCAGCACUUUAGGGGGACUAGGAAAGAGGAUCACUUGAGUCAGGAGUUUGAGACCAGCCUGGGCCACGUGGCAAGACCAUUUCUACAAAAAAAAAACUUAAGAAAACUUGUCAGGUGUGGUGGCAUGCACCUGUAAUCCCAGCUACUCAGGAGGCUGAAGCAGGAGGAUCACUUGAGGCCAGGAGGCCGAGGCUGUAGUGAGCUAUGGUUGCGCCACUGCACUCCAGCCUCCAUGACAGAGCAAGACUGUUUAAAAACAAAAAUGAAAACUGGCCCACCUUGUCCCAGGGACCUCCCCUGCUUCGUCUGGUUAGAACCUGGCACGAAUGCGCUUUUGUCUCAUCCUGAGUCACAGGCCUCAGUUCACGGCCCUUUCCAUACUGAAAACUCU